AAAACAAAGCCUGAAAGUUCAGAUCAAUGUAACCAAUGAUGCAGUGUGCAUGAGAUACAUUCGUCCAACUCCAAGCACUAAACUGGAAGGUUUCAUCCUGGGGUAUGGAAGCAGCUUCUUCUCUAACCAGUAUAUUCCCCUACCGUCUAAUGGGAAAAUGUACAUAACUGAAGUUGAUGCAGAGCCAAGAUACUUGAUUGUAGUGAGACCAGCACCCAUUCCUAAUAACAAGAAAUCCUGCUCAGGUA